CCGUCACGAACCACAAACUUCAAUUGCGUCAGCCUUUCGACACCACUGUUUCAUCAUCUUUCACCGGUUGAAAUCGGAAUCUAGCCUUUACACCGAAUAACUCUUCACUUCCAACCUUUUCCACCGUUUAAUCGGACCAUUUCACCGAUUAAACCAUCAUAUCUCACCGGAUCUUGAAUCUACACUAAACAAACUUUCAGAUCUAGGAUUUGUUUGAGCCUUUUCUUCUCCGACACCAAAACUUAGGGUUCCUCGUUCUGAUUGUUUCUUUUGCUGUUUCUUCUGGGAGGGUGGCAGGGCCGGCGACGAAGUUGAAGACGCGAUCUUAGGCGUGGAGCUGGGUUGCGAUUUGACUGAUACUGGUUUGAGGGAGGUGGGGCGAGGGGAGUAGAGGCGGAAAGGGGUUAUGCGGGUUUGGAACGGGAACAAAGGAGACUAGUCUUGUGUUCUUACGAGAAUGAAGGAGACGGUUGCCGUCUUUGAAAUGAAAAUUUAGGGUUUGUGGGUUAUGAUUCUGGCUAAGAAAAGUGAAUGAACUAUU
rnacentral:lncRNA from 1 species